rnacentral:lncRNA from 1 species
GCAGGCUCCCAGCGGAGGAGCCUGAUGUGGGGCUCGAUCCCAGAACGCCGGGAUCACGCCCUGAGCCGAAGACAGACGCCCAACGACUGCGCCACCCAGGCGCCCCUGGAUUUUUUAUCUUAAUUUCAUAAUUUAUCUGUAAGUUCUUGGGGGCCUGUCUUUAAGGUACCUCCCCUAGGAUUUGCAUUUAUUUCUGCUGGCCACUUGGGAGUGUUUUACAUUCUCACCUUGGAGUUGUUUCCCCCAAAGGUACUACAGAUGCUGUUUGUGCGCAGGGCCAGCUUGUGGAGAGACUCCCAGAGGCAUCUUCCUGCUCCCAGAGCUAAGAGCCUAGCACCGUACCUGGUUUCCAGCACUCAGUAAAAUGUAGAAUGAAGAAAUGGAUGACUCAUCAAAUGCCAGUAUUCCUCAGUCAUUGUGUGAACUCGGAGACCUGAGCAAACCAGAGCUAGUACGUUGGACUUGAUGGAGUGAUGCCAGCUUUACUCAAGAGGAGCAACUCAAGUCGGAAUAUGGGCUGGCCUGUGUCAUUACAACCUCGUGAGUAGUUUUCAUUCCUGCCUCUUACUCUGGCUCUCC